ACGGAAGGCAGCAGUGGGGAAUAUUGCGCAAUGGAGGCAACUCUGACGCAGCAACGCCGUGUGCAGGAUGACGGCCUUCGGGUUGUAAACUGCUUUCAGUAGGGAAGAAGUAAUUGACGGUACCUACACAAGAAGCUCCGGCUAACUACGUGCCAGCAGCCGCGGUAAUACGUAGGGAGCAAGCAUUAUCCGGAUUCAUUGGGCGUAAAGCGCGCGCAGGCGGAUAUUUAAGCGGAUCUUUUAACCCGAGGGCUCAACCCCCGGUCGGGAUCCGAACUGGAUAUCUUGAGUGCGGUAGGGGCAAGCGGAAUUCCAUGUGUAGCGGUGAAAUGCGCAGAUAUAUGGAAGAACACCGAUGGCGAAGGCAGCUUGCUGGGCCGACACUGACGCUCAGGUGCGAAAGCUAGGGGAGCAAACAGGAUUAGAUACCCUGGUA
rnacentral:rRNA from 1 species